rfam:Dipodomys ordii contig_60223, whole genome shotgun sequence.
GUAGCUCAAUGGUAGAGUGCUUGCCUUGCAUGCAUGAGGCCCUGAGUUCGAUUUCUUAGC